UCCUACGGGAGGCAGCAGUGGGGAAUUUUGGACAAUGGGGGCAACCCUGAUCCAGCCAUGCCGCGUGAGUGAAGAAGGCCUUCGGGUUGUAAAGCUCUUUCGGCCGGAACGAAACGGUGGAUGCUAACACCAUCCAUUACUGACGGUACCGGAAUAAGAAGCACCGGCUAACUACGUGCCAGCAGCCGCGGUA
rnacentral:rRNA from 1 species